GAUGCCCAGCUUGCUGGGCGGAUUAGUGGCGAACGGGUGAGUAAUACGUGAGUAACCUGCCCUUGACUCUGGGAUAAGCCUGGGAAACUGGGUCUAAUACUGGAUACUACCGCCCACCGCAUGGUGGGUGGUGGAAAGGGUUUUACUGGUUUUGGAUGGGCUCACGGCCUAUCAGCUUGUUGGUGGGGUAAUGGCUCACCAAGGCGACGACGGGUAGCCGGCCUGAGAGGGUGACCGGCCACACUGGGACUGAGACACGGCCCAGACUCCUACGGGAGGCAGCAGUGGGGAAUAUUGCACAAUGGGCGGAAGCCUGAUGCAGCGACGCCGCGUGAGGGAUGACGGCCUUCGGGUUGUAAACCUCUUUCAGUAGGGAAGAAGCGAGAGUGACGGUACCUGCAGAAGAAGCGCCGGCUAACUACGUGCCAGCAGCCGCGGUAAUACGUAGGGCGCAAGCGUUGUCCGGAAUUAUUGGGCGUAAAGAGCUCGUAGGCGGUUUGUCGCGUCUGCUGUGAAAGCCCGGGGCUCAACCCCGGGUCUGCAGUGGGUACGGGCAGACUAGAGUGCAGUAGGGGAGACUGGAAUUCCUGGUGUAGCGGUGAAAUGCGCAGAUAUCAGGAGGAACACCGAUGGCGAAGGCAGGUCUCUGGGCUGUUACUG
rnacentral:rRNA from 1 species